AUGAUCACAAAGGGGAGCCAAAUAGGCUGAGAUUGAAAUUUUUUCUAAACCCUUCGUACCUGUAUCGGUUAUGCGAGCGUAGGAAUUGUGUUGUUUAAUUUU
rnacentral:ncRNA from 1 species